AUGCACUCUUGCUUCCUGCCUUUUCUAGAAGAUGAUGACCUUGUCCAUCAUGAUGACACCUCUAUGGCCAAUGGAAGUGAUCUUGUUGCCCACCCUGAUGAGCACAACCAGAUGGUGAACCAGGAAGGUGAUGACAACCAGCCUCUUCAGUUGUUAUUAUGUGCACUUAGUAGAGGAGCAAUGGGAAGGGGGGGGGGUAUGGGGGAAGGUCUCAAUAGGAUCAGUCGAGCCCGGAGGGCCAAAAUGCCACUCAUUAUUCCGGAAGGAAAGAUAAGGCCGAAGUUGCCUCUUCUUGCUGCAAAGUUUGCAACUGAAUGCAAUAUCGUUGUCAGAAACCAUGUGCCUGUGCUUCAGUGCUGGAAGGAUUACAAGAAAAAGGACAACACUGGGAUCUUCCAAUAUUUUGUUGGCAAAGUUGGGCAGAUUACUAUCGUUGCUCUUAUAGUCCAGCUGUUAGCAUUUAGAUGCGGCAGCCUUGGCCGAGAUGAUCGCCGGAACUUCUGA
rnacentral:rRNA from 1 species